GGGUGCGAGUGCUGCCUUGUAGCGGCAUUAGCCUACUCUUUUUCGAAAUCUACAAGGGUGUCUUUAACGUGCAAGAGAUAUGACUCUCUCUUAACACGGGCCAGCCAUUUAUCGUCCCCGUCCGACGGACUAUCAUCGUUUCCUCAAGACCAUACUCGCAAAUGGUGUCAAGGGAGAGCCGAAAAUUGAGUUCCUGAAAUUUUCAUCCCAAACGGGAAUCGAACCAGGAACCUUUGUGUUAGUAGUCCGAUGCACUAACCACUACACCACGGC
rnacentral:lncRNA from 1 species